CAAACCAAAGCUGGCGACCGGCGCACGGGUGAGUAACACGUAUCCAACCUGCCUCAUACUCGGGGAUAGCCUUUCGAAAGAAAGAUUAAUAUCCGAUAGCAUAUAUUUCCCGCAUGGGUUUUAUAUUAAAGAAAUUCGGUAUGAGAUGGGGAUGCGUUCCAUUAGUUUGUUGGGGGGGUAACGGCCCACCAAGCUACGAUGGAUAGGGGUUCUGAGAGGAAGGUCCCCCACAUUGGAACUGAGACACGGUCCAA
rnacentral:rRNA from 1 species